rnacentral:rRNA from 1 species
UACGAAGGGGACUAGCGUUGUUCGGAUUUACUGGGCGUAAAGCGCGCGUAGGCGGAUCGCUAAGUCAGGGGUGAAAUCCCAGGGCUCAACCCUGGAACUGCCUUUGAUACUGACGAUCUGGAGAUCGGGAGAGGUUGGUGGAAUUCCGAGUGUAGAGGUGAAAUUCGUAGAUAUUCGGAGGAACACCAGAAGCGAAGGCGGCCAACUGGCCCGAUACUGACGCUGAGGCGCGAAAGCGUGGGGAGCGAACAGG